AUUGAACGCUGGCGGCAGGCCUAACACAUGCAAGUCGAGCGGAUGAAGGGAGCUUGCUCCUGGAUUCAGCGGCGGACGGGUGAGUAAUGCCUAGGAAUCUGCCUGGUAGUGGGGGAUAACGUCCGGAAACGGGCGCUAAUACCGCAUACGUCCUGAGGGAGAAAGUGGGGGAUCUUCGGACCUCACGCUAUCAGAUGAGCCUAGGUCGGAUUAGCUAGUUGGUGGGGUAAAGGCCUACCAAGGCGACGAUCCGUAACUGGUCUGAGAGGAUGAUCAGUCACACUGGGACUGAGAAACGGUCCAGACUCCUAAGGGAGGCAGCAGUGGGGAAUAUUGGACAAUGGGCGAAAGCCUGAUCCAGCCAUGCCGCGUGUGUGAAGAAGGUCUUCGGAUUGUAAAGCACUUUAAGUUGGGAGGAGGGGCAGUAAGUUAAUACCUUGCUGUUUUGACGUUACCAACAGAAUAAGCACCGGCUAACUUCGUG
rnacentral:rRNA from 1 species